rnacentral:rRNA from 1 species
UGGGGAAUAUUGCACAAUGGGCGGAAGCCUGAUGCAGCGACGCCGCGUGAGGGAUGACGGCCUUCGGGUUGUAAACCUCUUUCAGUAGGGACGAAGCGUAAGUGACGGUACCUGCAGAAGAAGCACCGGCUAACUACGUGCCAGCAGCCGCGGUAAUACGUAGGGUGCGAGCGUUGUCCGGAAUUACUGGGCGUAAAGAGCUCGUAGGCGGUUUGUCACGUCGUCUGUGAAAUCCUAGGGCUUAACCCUGGACGUGCAGGCGAUAUGGGCUGACUUGAGUACUACAGGGGAGACUGGAAUUUCUGGUGUAGCGGUGGAAUGCACAGAUAUCAGGAGGAAUACCGGUGGCGAAGGCGACUUUCUGGCCAUAUACUGACGCUGAGGUACGAAAGCGUGGGUAGCAAACAGG